GAGGGUAUAGCUCAAAGUGGUAGAGCACAUGCUUAGCAUGCACGAGGUCCUGGGUUCCAUUCCCAAUACCUCCA
rnacentral:tRNA from 1 species